UCCCAGUCUCAAAAAGGUUGAGGGGAGUUGCGACUAAGGAAUUGGCAGGCACCCGUCUGGCGGGGGAUGGAGGGUGAGGUUGCUGGAGUUGGUUCUUUGCAGUGACCCAAAUUGCAGAGCCUUUCCCUUAGCAGCGCCUGGGAGAGCCUCCCCAACCCCCACCCCCAUCCACAACACACCCCCGGCCCCAUCUUCCCAAAAGAAAGCCUUGAAAACUAAGCGGGAGGAAUAACUUGGGAGAACCAUUUGAAUAAAUCACUUCAACUCACCUGGUUUGGGAUUUUUCUCCCCACCCCAGGCAUAAACAGAAAUGAUGUGCGAAGGAGUCACGCACGCAAAGGAAGGUGCGGCGAUGUCCUAAGUCCAAGGGCUGGAGUCAGUCCCUGCCCUGGUGCUGCUGCUACUCUGAGCUCAGCUGGAGCGAGCGGCAAUAGCAAGCCCAGCGGCAGCAGGGGGUGGGUAGAUCGUAGCACAAUGAAUGCAGUGGGGUUUUUGCAAUGACAUCAUCCCUCUGUCCGAGCAGCCCCAAUAGCCAUGCUAGGGUGCGAUGCAUUCUGGGAAUUGUAGUCUUCUGGCGUCCUCAAAGGACGCCAAGGCUUUCGCUAGAACUACAAUACCCAAGAUGCGCCGAGGCCGGACGCGCCCAGAGAGGAGGAGCGGAGGGGACUGGUGGCCAUGUUAGGAUCGCUGGGUUGGCUCCGCGGAGCUAGAGGACUUCUUGCAAGCGCGGGAGCCGAGAAGUCGUGCAGUAGGGACGAAUCUGUCUACAGUGUGGAAAGAUGGGAAAUUUCCUCUUGAGAAUGUCAGAAGGGUUAAAAAUGUUGAUAUGUGUGCUUUAUUCGGUUUUUUCUCCCCUCCCAUUCAUUUUGAACUUCAUUCUGAAAACAAAAUUAAUAGUUUAUCUGGGGGAAAAAAAUCUAGCAAGUCAAAAGGCAAGAAAAACUCAUAAACUGUCCCAAGAGCGGCAAGAAACCGGGGAAAAAAAGCAGAACAAUUUCAAGAGAAACACAAUGAAAAUGGAAAUCUUAAGACUGAAACUCAAAGAGACAGUACCCAACAUUAAAGCACAAAGCUGCAUAGUGACUGGGUCAGACCAGCAAGCUGCUAUUUGGCAACCAGAUGUUAUAGUUAAUCACUAGGCUGAAAGACUGAUCUAUCUGGUGUGAAAGAAGAUAGGAGAGAACUGACAUACUUCUUACAUGGAAGAUCUGGUUUUCUGUAAGGCUACAGAAUCUAUUAAUAGCCGGGGAUUUAGCUCAGUGGUGGUGCCGCCUGCCUCACAAGAGCAAUGUCCUGAGUUCGAUCCCUGGUACCAAAAAAAAAGAUGGAACAGACUCUAUUAAUAAACACCACAGUCUUUUUCAGAGAUAAUUCAAUUGUCAAGCCUCUCAAAUAUUUCUCUUCUCAUUCAAGUCUCACUAGUACCUUGUAAGGAAGCAUCAUUUAUAGACUUAAUUUAUUCUGAUAGCAA
rnacentral:lncRNA from 1 species